UGACGAUCAGUAUACUGAACUUCAGCCUGGAUUGAACUCUGUUUUUGUGACCUGUGAAUCGUUUCUUGGUACUCUGCAUUCUGAUCUCAUGUUCCAGUGCCUGUGUAUGACAGACUGGACCACCAAACUGUAUCAGGUUUGGUCAAGUGUAAAGAAAAUGCCAGCAGAAAAGUCACAGUGCUGCAGUUAUGUACAGUACCAUGCAGAAAUACACCUGGACUACUUCUGUCUUUCUUUUAUAAAUUCAUUUCAGGGUUUUUGUGCCCUUAUUUUGGAAGGACGGGACAAUAGUUGGCAGGAAUUGCUAAAGAGGGAGCCCCCUCAGCAGCUCUGUCAAAAACAAACCCGCCUGGAGGCUGAAAAGUCUGUUUUUCUGCUCGUAAUUUUCCUCCUUUCUGCACUUUUUUGAUUCGGUGUGUCUUGGACAGUUCCUCCUCUAAGUGUUCUUUUGGAAAUGAAGGACAGUCAUGGCUUUUUUCUCUUUCCACAGACAAAGACACAGUGGGAGGUUUUAAUGUUUUCUGGACAACAGCCGCAUCAAAGUUUAUUCUUGCCACUUCUCUGAUGACUGCUAUGUAAACAUAGGCCUGUGAAAGCUGGAUUUGCACCUCAGCCCCUAUUGAAACCUGGAACCAUUACAUCUAUAAAGACUUUCCAUGAAAUCUCUGGCUGUAAGUAACAUAACAGCAGGCAAUGUAACAACAGUUAAUGUACACUAAUGUGGCUAAACAUGCUGCCACGGGGGUGCUGAUCACCAACCUCAGACAUUUUCUGUGAAGUCAUAACUUAAUGGGUCAUUUUGUGAAUACAAAGCUGUGUGAAAAGUUACACCCUCAACCCGUGUCCAAUCUUAUAUGAGUGGAAAUGCAGGACAAACAAAGUGUCAACAGUAUGACAUAAAUAAGGGGGUUUGAGCUACAAAUCAUGCAAAACUGCUCUGCAUUACAUCCAGUGUCUGUCAGCCUUCUCCUCUUGUUUUCACGGUUUAGAUAUGAUUUAAUGUGCGUCUUCUGAAAAUGACUUCCCUCCUCAACAACAUUCACAGUGUAAACAAUCAUCAGGGUAAUCAUAGAAAUUUUCACUCAAUGAAUGAAAUAUUGCGUCAAUAAGAGGCUUCUCAAAGAUUUGGGGUUUGAUUGUCCACAUGUCUUUGCUGCUGAGCUAAUUUGAGAAGGCGUAUGAGUUUAUUCUCUAACAGCUGAGCAAAAGAGAAUCAUUUACUAGAGAAAUUGCCCGUAACAAAAUUAAAUGCCUUUUAUGCCUUAUAUUAUUCUUUAAUUGUAAUUCUACCUCUUGAACAUUUUUCUUAAGAGAGCCGUCAGACAACUGUGCUGUCGAUUCAUACAAAUCUUAGCCUGGAGCUGCUCCCUGCUGACAAGCUGUUUUGAUCACAUUAUGAUCAUCUCUUUUACAUUACUACAUGCUCAAGGGAAAGGAGCCUCCCUGCUGUAACACCAGCUCUCCUACUGCUGUCAUGCCGUGGUAAAUUUUAGUGUCAUGUUGUUUUGGACAUGGAAAUUAACCAGAUUUUGGAUGGUGUUUGAUAAUCUCAUGAAAACUUGAUUCUGCCAGCAAAAGAGCUUAGAUAGAAAAGACCUGCAGCAGGCUCAAACUCAAACAAAAACACACUAUAAAUACACUAUAUCUUUUUUAGUAUUAAACUCUGAGUGAGCCACAUUCAGUCAUAGUGAUUUAUAAAUGUCUCCUGCAAAAGCUGUCUCAGAAGGGUAAUAAAAAACUGUUUUAUAAAGCACCUUCAAAACCGAGUUCACAAUGUGCUCUGACAGACAAAACCAAACUGCCUGACAAAAAAGGAAAUAUAACAAAAGAAACCCAAAAGGUCAGGCAAGGAGACAAAUACAGAACACAGGAGAUGCCACUGAUAAGGAAUAAUACAAGACAAAUGUAUUUUGUAAGAGGAGAAAAAAAGAGAGAAAAUCCAAUUUAAAAAAAGUGUAGAAAAUGGAUUUUUUUGGGGGCGCUACUUUUAAAAGUUCUUGAUCUGGGAGUGCAGAGGCCAACACAGGCCAAACUGAUCCAUCAGUGGGACCAAGAUCGCUCUGUUGUGGAGGUUAAGACAGCAAUUAGCAGUCUAUAACAUGGUGUAUAAUUUUUAAAUGAUGUGACAAGGCUAGUGGUGCCUUUUGUCCUCCUCACAGGUUAACCUGCCUGCACGUGUUAGGUCCUGCUCCAACUGAAUGUCAUCUGUGCUUGUUUACAUCUCAGCACCAGAGCUUUACAGCAUUCUGUAAGUAGCUAUUAACCCGAGCCACAGGCCCGAAUCGUGGGGGUGGAUGCUCUACAGCUUAGACACAAUGUAUGACAGUAGGUAUAGAAAUAUUAAAAGAUGGCAAUAGAAUAACCUAAGCCCACAAACUGUCCACUUGAUCCGAUACCCUCACAUCUCCUGUAGGCGAUUGAGCCCACAGUCAGCCCUGCUGUAACACACAUCACUAACUCCUCUCUGUCAAUGUUUUUUUUUUUUUUUUGCAUUGUUUUGCAUUCAGGCAAGCAAGUGUCAGACCAUUGCUCAAAAAAUCCACUUUCAACCCAGCCUUUGUUGCAAAUUAGAGGCCGGUCUCCCUCCUUCCAUUCCUAUCAAAAAUACUUGGGCACACAAUUCAGCUGGCUCCCAGUCUACCUACAGAACUAUGAUCUACUUGAUCUGAAUCAAACUGGCUUUUGGCGGGGCCUCUCUACUGAAACUGCUCUUUUGUUUGUAAGGGAAUCGCUGCACUUGGCUAAAGCAGUUGGUCAGUCCACAGUUCUUUGGCUGCUGGAUCUUUCUGCUGCCUUUGACACAGUGAGCUACCAAAUCCUCCUCUCUACACUCUCCUCACUUGGUAUCUCAGGGUCUGUCCUCCAGUGAGGAGAGUGUAGAGAAGAGGGAAAUCUUUUAGAGUGUUAUGGAGGGGAGAGGUGUUCCAUAUGCAUGGUUUAUCAACAGGGGUGCAUCAAGGGUCAGAUCUUGGUCUCCUCUUUUUCCAAAUAUACACCACAUCACUUGGUGGAAUCAUGCGCUCCCGUGGCUUUUCCUAUCACUAAUAUGCAGAUGAUACACAGCUCUUCUUGUCUUUGUUCACAUGACGACACAACUGUCUUAGCUCAGAUCUCAUCCUCCCUUGCUGAUAUCUCUAAAUGGAUGAGGUAAAACUGAACUAAUCAUUCCAGCCAGUCCCACUGUGGACCCACAGCUCAAUAUCCAGUUUGAAUCUCAUAACCUCAGUCCUACCAAAUCUGCCUGAAAUCUAGGUGUCAUGGUUGAUGACCAGCUAACCUUCAGGGUUCAUGUUGCCUCAAUUGCCUGGUCCUGCAGAUUUGCCCUCUAGUACAUCAGGAUGAUCAGAACCUACCUGACAAAGCAUGUAACACAGCUCCUGGUACAGGCUCUUGUAAUUUCAUGCAUUGACUACAGUAUCUCCUUACUGGCAGACCUCCCUGCUUGCACAGUUAAACCUCUGUAAAUAAUCUAGAAUGCAGCAGCACAUCUGGUCUUCAACCAGCCAAAGACAGCUCAUGUCACUCCUCUGUUCAUCUCUCUUCACUGGCUUCCAGUUGUUACUCACAUCAAAAAAAAACCUCCAAUUGUUGCUUACAAAGCAGUAAUUAAAACUGCUCUGGUUUACCUGGAACCCCACAUCCAGGUCUACACCCCUUCCCGCCCACUAGGUUUAGCCACAGCAAGGUGCCUGGCACCUCCAGCUCAAUUUAUAUCUUCAGAUUGUUUUUUCAUAGUUAUCCAUGACUGAACUUGACAACAGUCUCUUCCUCUGCUUUUUACAUCUGUAAAACUGAUGACAUACAGGGGAUACUUGAACUUAUGAAUGCCUCGUCCAUUAAUUUUUUUUAAACCAAUGAAAUCUUAAUUAAACCCAAUUACCCACCAUUUGAGGUGUUGCAGAAUAUUCCUGACAUAAAACUGACUAGAUUGCCAACAUUAUUCCCUGUAGUGAGGGCAAUUAAGAAAACAAGGUUACAGCAGAGUGUGUGUGUAUGUAUGAAUAUAUUACCGUGGCACUUUAACCCCAUCUGGCAUUAAUUUGAGUGCUGAUUGAAGACUAAUGAAUCAGAUUUACAGGCUGCUAUUACAUUUCCAACAGCUUUUUGGAGCAUUAGUCUAUCAUGUUCAAUCAUCUUUGUUACAAGUCUACGAUUUUCUCAAGGGGACUGAACUUUGUAGAGGGAAACAGAUACCCUAACAUGCACCAAUUAACCAUAAACCCCAAUGAAAUGAAAAUGAAAUGAAAUGAAACCCCAAUGUACGAUCGGGUGGUAAUUAGUCUUUUGGCUGUCAAGUAUUUUGAGUCACAGCAUUUGAAUAACAGUUAAUUAUUUUCAUUAAAGGUAGCCAUGUAAUAGUAAUUUAAACUGAUUUUACAAUCCUUUUCCGUUACCUAAUGAAACGAUUUUUUGUUACGCUUUCUCUUGAUUUUUUUUUCUGUCUUCAUUUGAGUUGCUCCAAUUCUCGAUUUUCAACUAUGCUUUUAUUUUGAAGGGCACCACACUUCUGUUCUACGUUGCAGUCUGCUGGGGAGGAAGCAUCAAACACAAAGAUGCAACAAAGUGGUGAAAAAGGCUGGCUCUGUGGUUGGACUCAAGCUGGACUCAGUGGAGGAUGUGGUGGAGAGAUCUACACUGAGGAAGGUGGAGUCUAUUCUAAAGAACAUGGAUCACCCACUUCACAACACCUUGAUGGACCAAAGGGCCAAUGGUGGUGGACGGCUCUUCUCUCUUUGCUGCAGGACAGAAAGAUUCAGGAGAUCUUUUGUACCAACAGCCAUUAGACUUUAAAAUUUUUGUGUAAAUAGUAGAUGACUUUUGGAGAAAUAAUAUGUGAGACAACAGACGAUUGAAUUUUCCUUUAGGGAUGAAUAAAGGUCUUCUUAUUCUUAUUCUUUUGGUAAAUGGUGAGUUAGGUAACAGUAGAGAAAGAUCAUUGAAUGUCAGUUUUUGAAAUGUCUAAACAUCUCUCAUCGGGCUGCUACAGCUAGCUCCCUGGCAGCUGCUGCUUCUUCUUCAUCUGUCUCUUUUUUUGCGUAUGGUAAAAGACCAUUACUAUGAUCUCACUUUAUCACUGUAUGCUCAUCUUAGCACAAUAGCAAUAUUAAAUUAUUUAAAAAAAGGCAGUGAUCAUAAAUCGCCACAGCUCUCUUAGUCUUAAGCUCAAAGUGACAUAUCUCUGAGGGUAGGAACAACACAAGUAAAGGUCUGCACAGGAUAAAACAACAUAAAUAAACACUACAAACUGCUUGAAGUCCUGUUAGACAAAGAAGCUAACAUGCAGCACAGGAGGCAAAACAGGGGGUGUUUAGAGGCAUUUUUAAUAAAGAAUAUUAAUGUCAUUAUUCACCACAAAAACUUUGUUGACAGACCAUAACAAAGAUGGCACUUUUAGGCACUCUCAUUUAACAACAAGCUCCAUAUCUCUAAAAUCUACACCAAAAUGAAUCUUCUUUUUGAGGAACUGGAUCCAGGAAGUUCCUGAAAACAAAAAAGGCUUCUCUGCAGGAUUGAAAAGUCCCUUGAUAUUGCAGAAAACUUCCUUCAUGUUCCCUUUAAACAGUGAGCUCAGUAAUAUCAAAGUCCUCCUCUUUUAUGAACCACACUAACGUCCAAAACAAUUUAGUGGCUACACUCUCCAGUUUUUCCCAAGUCCCAUAUUGUGCUUGGUGCACAGUUUCCACCUUCUGAUUAAUAAAUUAUGAGUAAUAUGAGACCAUCCACGUAGUUCUGAUGACUGGCACUGCAGAUGUGUGAAAUUGCAUUUUUUUGAUGAUCAUAACAAGUCUAUAUGAGAGCGGAUGUGUAAUGCAGACGACCUCCCGCUGUUUUAGAACUCAUUUUAUUAAGAGACGAGGUGUGACUGUGAAACAAAUGGUACCUACAGGACUGCCUCAUGUUCUUCUGGCAUCAAAAGUCUGAGCCAAACCAUUAAACAUUAAAGUGUAAAGUUCUGAUGAGAAAGUCAUGAAUAAAG